UACGUAGGGGGCGAGCGUUGUCCGGAUUUAUUGGGCGUAAAGAGCGUGUAGGCGGCCAGGUAGGUCUGCUGUGAAAACUCGAGGCUCAACCUCGAGACGUCGGCGGAAACCAUCUGGCUAGAGUCCGGAAGAGGAGAGUGGAAUUCCUGGUGUAGCGGUGAAAUGCGCGGAUAUCAGGAAGAACACCCGUGGCGAAAGCGGCUCUCUGGAACGGUACUGACGGCUGAGACGCGAAAGCGUGGGGAGCGAACAGG
rnacentral:rRNA from 1 species